CUACACGCGCAGCUUGAUCAGAUUGGGCUGAGGCACACGGACGGGAUGCUCCUCUCGCGGUGAACUGAGUGCGACUCUAAUCUACACGGCACAGACGGGAGCUGCGAAACGCACGGGGCGCUUUACAUGUCCUGAGAGGACAACCAACAAUCACACACCACUUAAGUAGCAUUCGUGUAUUUAGUCAGAACGCACUCGCAUCGCAACCAUGGCUUUAGACGCGACGAUGAUUCUGCCGGCUAUCUUUUUCACAGUUGUCGCCGUUAUCAUCGGGUCAAUUUUGUUCAAGAAGAAACCCGUAAAAGAGGCACCGAAGAAGAAGCACCAUGAGCAUGAGGAGGCUCCCGCUCGCUCCGUUGAAGUCCACCACGCGACUCCAUCUGAACCACUGGAGAUUCCUGUUUUGGUGAACCACCCGAUUUUUGGGACCACGGUAUCCGCAGAAGCCGAAAAAAAAGCCGUGAAGAAGGUUGAGGAGCCCGUGGCCGCUCCCCCCGUAGUGGAGGACGUUGGAGUGGUCGAGCAGCCUGCUGUUGUCGAGGCUGUAGUCGAAGCCGUACAGGCUGCCCCAGAACCAGUACCUGUUGUAGAGGCAACCCCAGAGCCCGUGGUGGAACCCGCACCAGAACCCGUGGUGGAACCCGCACCAGAACCCGUGGUGGAACCCGUCCCUGAGCCUGUGAUUCCAGAGCCCGAGCCAGCCCCAGUGGUAGAGGCUGUCCCAGAACCCGUCGUGGAACCCGCACCAGAACCCGUCGUGGAACCCGCACCAGAACCAGUGGUGGAACCAGAACCAGUGGUGGAACCCACACCAGAACCUGUUGUAGAGGCUGUGCCAGAACCCGUUGAAGAGGUUGCACCAGAACCAGUGGCAGAGCUUGUGGAGGAACCUCUGCCCGCAGAACCCACACCAGAGCCAGAACCUAUUGUAGAGGCAGCCCCAGUCGAAGAGGCCGCACCAUCAGAACCGGCCCCUGAGCCCGUCACAGAACCCAUUCCCGAGCCAGAACACAACGAUGAAGCCGCUGGGCCAGUUGAGGAUGAUGAGGUUCCUAAGAUUGUUCCCGGUAAGAAAAGGAGCAAGUUUGAGAAGCGGUUGUCCAAGGAGGAGAUGGAGGAGGAACAAAGGAUAGAGUUGACCAACGAUUUUACCUCCCUCUAGCCCCGCCCACACAGCGCAACAGCACUGCCUGUAGAACGCUCGCUUAGACGGGGCGAUGUCUAGUUGUAUGGGAGAUGCCCAUGGCUGUUGGCAUGGCGUGAGCUUACCUGCUUACUGUGUGUCGUCUGCAUGAUGUCUUACUCCUGAUGCCCCAGCCACCAUCUCCGCCGCCGACCACUAACCACAUGGGCAAGGAGCAGCUGAGUGAGCAGUGAACUUCAUGAGACCCUGAGCACCAGCCUGUCCAUCUCUCCUCCUCCAUCCCUCUCUCCAUCCCUCCAUCUCUCUCUCCUCCAUCUCUCUCCAUCCCUCCAUCACUCCGUCAGCGUGCCCACCCCAAUCCCUCCAUCGCCUGCCCAUCCCACCACUCCUCCCCUGGCAGCAGUGUGUGUGUGUGUGUGUGUGUGUGUGUGUGUGUUGCGUGUCUGUGUGUUUGCGCUCUGUUGCCCCCCUGCUGGGGGGUAAUAAAAGUGACGCCUGACUCUCUCCUCUCCUCUACUCCCCCUGGUGGCGGUGGCGGGUAGUGACCGUGACUGCGUGGACAGGAAGCUCAUGACUGCUGCUGUGUGUUCGUGUGCUGCCUGUGAAUAGCAAAGCUUUACCCUGAACACUCAGAGCCCAGUGUGUGUGAGAGUGAGUGUAUGAUGUUCUACAUAUACAAAGAUCUUCUCACACUAUAAAGUUCAUUUGAGAGAGAUGGCCCUUUCUGACAAGGUGAUCAAAACGGAAUCUGGUUGCACAGUGUACACACGCACAGAGACACACACACACACACACACGCACACGCACACGCAUGCACACGCACAGACACACACACGCACGCACAGAGACACACACGCACAGAGACACAGACACACACGCACACGCACACACACGCACAGACACACACACACACCUUCAAAAUUACACAAGGUUUGGGAUGUCUGUUGUAGACUGCCCAUUAUUAACUUGGGUGAGGAUAGCAGCUUACAGUUAAGAUCUAUCUCUCACUCUCUCUUUCUUUCUUUCUUUCUCUCUCUCAUCCUCUCUCUUUCUUUUUGUUGUUUUCUUGUGGAAUGUUUCAUUUUAUAUUUUAUUUUCUGUGUUAUGAAGACAUGAUUGUAGUUGUAGAGGUGACCUAAAGCGUCACUGCAUGUUUGGUAUGGUCAGUAGCUUUCAGAUCUCCAAAGAUACAGUCACUAAGCAACCAGCGGUUGCCAAGGGAACGUUGGCUGUAUGGUCAGUCACCCUUAGUUUACUUGAGAUGCGUCCACCAUCACCAUGGUGACCUUACUAACCCAGCAUAACUUAGGAAGUCACCGCAACCUUCUGUGCCCUCACUGGACAUGUGCACUUUGGUGGGUCAGACGAAGGGUCGAUGUGGCUCUGAUGUGGCCCUGAUGUGGCCCUGACCUGGCUGUCUGUGAAGGGCACCUUUAUGUAGAUUUAUGAGAUAGAAACAUAGUAGUAUUUAACUCUGUGCACACAUACACAAACCAGCAUACACAUACACACACACAUGAACCCGCAUACACACUAACACACAGCAUAUGCUCACUUAUUCUCAAAUACACACGAUAUCAAUUGCACACAACAUGUUCACACACAACACACACACACACACACAAAUGUUCUCGCUCUCUGAAAGCUGUACACGUUACAACAUGUUUCAUUGAUGCGGUACUGUGCGUCCACGAACUACUCAUCUCUUGUGUACGCACACGUACACACACACACACACACACACACCCUGUACAGAGUUGUAUGACCUACAUGUAUGAUAAUAUUUCUGUUUGUAGAGUUUGAGAUGUGUUGAGCUCUGAGAAGAACUGGCUUUUUUGGAACCUGUUGGAAUUAAAAGCCGAUGUAUGAACUUGA